rnacentral:tmRNA from 2 species
GGGUCUGUUUAUGGAAUUCGACAGGCUGUUUAGAGCAUUGGCUGCAUUCCGCCGUCCGGGCGUAAAACGGGCAGACAUUUAACUGCAAAAAACAAUAAUUCUUACGCAAUCGCUGCCUAAAAACCAGUGAUCCGUAGCCUGAAUUUGAAGGCUAGCAUUUGAAUUUAGGUUUAAUAAAUGGCUAGACCGCUAAUUCUUACCCACCUGAUAAGAAUUGGUUAAAUCAAUCAGGUUAGUGGUGUUGAUGGGCCGUGAGCUAUGGCGGACAGCAUCAUGAAAUUAAAUGAUAGCCCUAAGAAUGUAGACGCUGGUGUAUCGGGCGGUUUGGACAGGGGUUCGACUCCCCUCAGAUCCAUUG